AAUCAAUGAUGAAACCUAUCUGAAAGCUGAUAACUUGAAGAAAAAUAUGUACAGAUUCAGCUUCUGAGAU
ensembl:snoRNA